rfam:Candidatus Jettenia caeni DNA, contig: KST1_C.
ACCUGAUAAGGGCAAACCAUUCGAAAGGAUGGGACGCAAAGCCACUGGCCUAAAUCCUUCAUAAGGACAUGGUAGCAGGGUUGCCGGG